CAGGCUUUCAGGGGGCUCUGUGGGGGCCCUGCUUUCCUCACACUGAGCAAGUGCCCAUCACCGCCUGUCAGGAGCACUGCCCUGGAGAACCAGGAGCCUUCCCACCAGGAGCAGUCUUUCAGGAGGAAACAUUUGGGCACGUUUUUUGUGCCCUUCAGGUGUGCUCAGCAUAUUCUGGAAUUAGAAGAAUUCCUUCUGGGCAGGAAGGCUGCCCCUCAAGGACACCCAUCUCUGUUUAUCUCCUGAGUUCCUGCAGAAGCUGGAAUUGUCUCCAUCAGCAGGCACCUCUCGUGGUCUGGGGAAGCUCUGUGAGAAGCAAGGAUGUGAGUGAAACAAGUGGAAUAUUCCAGCUUGAUACCUGGAAUUAAAUGUAGCUGUGGCUGUGUGUAGUUGUGUAGUUGUGGCCAGCGUGGGGAGGUGUGGUGCUGGAAAUAAAUAACUGCCUGUGAGA